rnacentral:rRNA from 1 species
AAAUUGAAGAGUUUGAUCAUGGCUCAGAUUGAACGCUGGCGGCAGGCCUAACACAUGCAAGUCGAACGGUAACAGGAAGAAGCUUGCUUCUUUGCUGACGAGUGGCGGACGGGUGAGUAAUGUCUGGGAAACUGCCUGAUGGAGGGGGAUAACUACUGGAAACGGUAGCUAAUACCGCAUAACGUCGCAAGACCAAAGAGGGGGACCUUCGGGCCUCUUGCCAUCGGAUGUGCCCAGAUGGGAUUAGCUAGUAGGUGGGGUAAAGGCUCACCUAGGCGACGAUCCCUAGCUGGUCUGAGAGGAUGACCAGCCACACUGGAACUGAGACACGGUCCAGACUCCUACGGGAGGCAGCAGUGGGGAAUAUUGCACAAUGGGCGCAAGCCUGAUG